rnacentral:rRNA from 1 species
GUGGGGAAUCUUGCGCAAUGGGCGAAAGCCUGACGCAGCCAUGCCGCGUGAAUGAUGAAGGUCUUAGGAUUGUAAAAUUCUUUCACCGGGGACGAUAAUGACGGUACCCGCAGAAUAAGCCCCGGCUAACUUCGUGCCAGCAGCCGCGGUAAUACGAAGGGGGCUAGCGUUGUUCGGAAUUACUGGGCGUAAAGCGCACGUAGGCGGAUUGACAAGUCAGGGGUGAAAUCCCGGGGCUCAACCUUGGGAUUGCCGUUGAUACUGGCGUGGUGAAGUUUGGAAGAGGUGAGUGGAACUCCGAGUGUAGAGGUGAAAUUCGUAGAUAUUCGGAAGAACACCAGUGGCGAAGGCGACUCACUGGCCCAAUACUGACGCUGAGGCGCGAAAGCGUGGGGAGCAAACAGGAUUAGAAACCCGGGUAGUCC